AUGCAGAAAUCUCCCUCAUCUGACUUUCGCAUCCGCGGCCGGGGAUCGCCAGAUGACGUCACUACCAGGGAGAGUCGGUCCCCGGCUCACCUAGGUCGGUCGCAGUCUAUCGCCCCCUGGCGGUCCUCUGGGGAACCAGUCUAUAGCGCCCUCUGGAGCCACCAAGUGCCCCGUACUGUCAAAGCGACAAAGACAGGGGAAUCUGGUGUAGCCGGUUCGGCUUGGUGAUCGCCUUGGUGAACGACCUCGAGUCACCUUGCCCAACUGCAGUGACCUCAUCUGGGGGGAUGAGGGGUUUGUGCUGAGUCAGUUUUUUCCCUAAACUCAUCAUUCAGCCGACUGAGAUGCUUUUCUAAAAUUCUCUCCCGCAGGCCAUUAAAAUUAUACAGGAAAAUGAUACGUGUGUUUAUUGCAUUCCUCAAUAAAAGCUGUAACGUAAUGUGUACUUAGAUCUCU
rnacentral:lncRNA from 1 species